rnacentral:rRNA from 1 species
GAUUUCCUACGGGAGGCAGCAGUGAGGAAUAUUGGUCAAUGGUCGGGAGACUGAACCAGCCAAGCCGCGUGAGGGAGGAAGGUACAGAGUAUCGUAAACCUCUUUUGUCAGGGAACAAAGACUGGGACGCGUCCCCGGAUGAGUGUACCUGAAGAAAAAGCAUCGGCUAACUCCGUGCCAGCAGCCGCGGUAAUACGGAGGAUGCGAGCGUUAUCCGGAUUUAUUGGGUUUAAAGGGUGCGCAGGCGGUCUGUUAAGUCAGCGGUCAAAGCCCGGGGCUCAACCCCGGCCCGCCGUUGAAACUGG